GCUGUUCAAGCUGCUGUUUGUGGGGGGCUCAGUAUAUGAUUAGAGUGGACAUUUCCUCUCUUGGAGAACUUUGAUGGAGUCCUCAGAGGUCGUCUAACUCUGGACCCUCUUCUCCUAUAGUUUUUCUUCCCCCCUUGGAAGAUGAAUUGCAUUUUAUCAGUUAUCUCAGAGAAGCACUUUGAAAUGAAGUAAGGAAAUAAACAUGGCUCUACAUUUUUAAACAGAUGAUUUGUUACCAGACUAUGACCAUAAUGGAAAAAAAGCCAACUCCCUUGAGGUUUCUGAUGCCAAGGCAUGACUGCACAUUGAAUGUCAUCAGAGUUCUCCUGGCUGGUCGCAUUGGUGUGCCCCAUGGAAUGAUUGAGACUGGCCGGGAGACAUCAAGAGGUUACAUGUUCAUUGUGAAUCUGCAAAGCGGGGGCACUACUCAUUGUUGUCACUCACGGGUAGAAGAAGCCAAUGGAGGCUCGAUUUGGACAUGAACUUCCCAGGGACUAGAGAAUGCGGCGCUUAAAACUUCUGCUAAAUUAUGUGUUUCCUUUGUGCUUCCAUUUCUUUGGCCACAGCAAGUCACAUGACAUGAUAGGAAACACAACCCUCCCACAAAGCCAGUGGAGAACUGGAAUCUUUGCAAAUGGCCCUCAAGCCUGUCAUCUAUGUGCAUGGUAACAGGAGAGGGAAUUGGAAAGGUGAGUUAGGGGCUGCUUUCUGAAGUUGUGUUUGCAAAACACACAAACCAGUUUAAUAUGGUCAGGCUUUGUGUCCCUGCCCAAAUCUCAUCUUGAAUUGUAAUCCCCAGAUGUUGAGGGAGAGACCUGGUGGGAAGUGACUGAAUCAUGGGGGCAGUUGCCCCCCUGCUGUUCUCAUGAUAGUGAUGAGUUCUCAUGAGAUCUGAUGGUUUUAUAAGGCAGUUUUCCCUGCUCUUGCUAGCUCUUCUCUCUCCUGCUGCCAUGUGAAGAAGAUCCUUGCCUCCCCUUUGUCCUCCAUGAUUGUAAGUUUCCUGAGGUCUCCCCAUCCAUGUGGAACUGUGAGUCAAUAAAACCUCUUUCCUUUAUAAAUUUCCAGUCUUGGGUAGUUCUUUACAGCAGUGUGAAAAUGGACUAAUACAUAGUUUUACCUUUAUUUUGUUUCUGUGAGGUGUUUUUCAGUUGAAGGUAUUCAUGG
rnacentral:lncRNA from 10 species